UACGUAGGGUGCAAGCGUUGUCCGGAAUUAUUGGGCGUAAAGCGCUCGCAGGUGGUUCGAUGCGUCGUGCGUGAAAGACCCCGGCUCAACUGGGGAGUGUCGUGCGAUACGGUCGGACUGGAGGCCAGUAGGGGGAUGCGGAAUUCCGGGUGUAGUGGUGGAAUGCGUAGAGAUCCGGAGGAACACCAGCGGCGAAGGCGGCAUCCUGGACU
rnacentral:rRNA from 1 species